AUGAACGCUGGCGGCGUGCCUAAUACAUGCAAGUCGAGCGAACAGAUGAGGAGCUUGCUCCUCUGACGUUAGCGGCGGACGGGUGAGUAACACGUGGAUAACCUACCUAUAAGACUGGGAUAACUUCGGGAAACCGGAGCUAAUACCGGAUAAUAUAUUGAACCGCAUGGUUUAAUAGUGAAAGACGGUUUUGCUGUCACUUAUAGAUGGAUCCGCGCCGCAUUAGCUAGUUGGUAAGGUAACGGCUUACCAAGGCAACGAUGCGUAGCCGACCUGAGAGGGUGAUCGGCCACACUGGAACUGAGACACGGUCCAGACUCCUACGGGAGGCAGCAGUAGGGAAUCUUCCGCAAAGGGCGAAAGCCUGACGGAGCAACGCCGCGUGAGUGAUGAAGGUCUUCGGAUCGUAAAACUCUGUUAUUAGGGAAGAACAAAUGUGUAAGUAACUAUGCACGUCUUGACGGUACCUAAUCAGAAAGCCACGGCUAACUACGUG
rnacentral:rRNA from 1 species